rnacentral:rRNA from 1 species
UACAGAGGGUGCGAACGUUGCUCGGAAUUACUGGGCGUAAAGCGCACGUAGGCGGAUCGUUAAGUCGGGGGUGAAAUCCUGGAGCUCAACUCCAGAACUGCCUUCGAUACUGGCGAUCUUGAGUCCGGAAGAGGUGAGUGGAACUCCUAGUGUAGAGGUGGAAUUCGUAGAUAUUAGGAAGAACACCAGUGGCGAAGGCGGCUCACUGGUCCGGUACUGACGCUGAGGUGCGAAAGCGUGGGGAGCAAACAGG